rnacentral:rRNA from 1 species
UACGUAGGGUGCAAGCGUUGUCCGGAAUUAUUGGGCGUAAAGAGCUCGUAGGCGGUCUGUUGCGUCGGCUGUGAAAACCCGAGGCUCAACCUCGGGCCUGCAGCCGAUACGGGCAGACUAGAGUUCGGCAGGGGAGACUGGAAUUCCUGGUGUAGCGGUGAAAUGCGCAGAUAUCAGGAGGAACACCGGUGGCGAAGGCGGGUCUCUGGGCCGAUACUGACGCUGAGGCACGAAGGCCAGGGGAGCAAACGGG